GACGAACGCUGGCGGCGUGCUUAACACAUGCAAGUCGAACGGUAAGGCCCUUCGGGGUACACGAGUGGCGAACGGGUGAGUAACACGUGGGUGAUCUGCCCUGCACUUCGGGAUAAGCCUGGGAAACAGGGUCUAAUACCGGAUAGGACCACUGCCUGCAUGGGUGGUGGUGGAAAGCUUUUGCGGUGUGGGAUGGGCCCGCGGCCUAUCAGCUUGUUGGUGGGGUGAUGGCCUACCAAGGCGACGACGGGUAGCCGGCCUGAGAGGGUGACUGGCCACACUGGGACUGAGAUACGGCCCAGACUCCUACGGGAGGCAGCAGUGGGGAAUAUUGCACAAUGGGCGCAAGCCUGAUGCAGCGACGCCGCGUGAGGGACGACGGCCUUCGGGUUGUAAACCUCUUUCAGCACCGACGAAGCGCAAGUGACGGUAGGUGCAGAAGAAGGACCGGCCAACUACGUGCCAGCCGCCGCCGUAA
rnacentral:rRNA from 1 species